GGACGAACGCUGGCGGCGUGCCUAAUACAUGCAAGUCGAACGCUUCUUUCCUCCCGCGUGCUUGCACUCAAUUGGAAAGAGGAGUGGCGGACGGGUGAGUAACACGUGGGUAACCUACCCAUCAGAGGGGGAUAACACUUGGAAACAGGUGCUAAUACCGCAUAACAGUUUAUGCCGCAUGGCAUAAGAGUGAAGGGCGCUUUCGGGUGUCGCUGAUGGAUGGACCCGCGGUGCAUUAGCUAGUUGGUGAGGUAACGGCUCACCAAGGCCACGAUGCAUAGCCGACCUGAGAGGGUGAUCGGCCACACUGGGACUGAGACACGGCCCAGACUCCUACGGGAGGCAGCAGUAGGGAAUCUUCGGCAAUGGACGAAAGUCUGACCGAGCAACGCCGCGUGAGUGAAGAAGGUUUUCGGAUCGUAAAACUCUGUUGUUAGAGAAGAACAAGGACGUUAGUAACUGAACGUCCCCUGACGGUAUCUAACCAGAAAGCCACGGCUAACUACGUG
rnacentral:rRNA from 1 species